rnacentral:rRNA from 1 species
UACGGAGGGGGCAAGCGUUGUUCGGAGUUACUGGGCGUAAAGCGAGCGCAGGUGGUUUAAUAAGUCUGAUGUAAAAGGCAGUGGCUCAACCAUUGUGUGCAUUGGAAACUGGUAGACUUGAGUGCAGGAGAGGAGAGUGGAAUUCCAUGUGUAGCGGUGAAAUGCGUAGAUAUAUGGAGGAACACCGGUGGCGAAAGCGGCUCUCUGGCCUGUAACUGACACUGAGGCUCGAAAGCGUGGGGAGCAAACAGG